AUUCCAGCUCCAAUAGCGUAUAUUAAAGUUGUUGUGGUUAAAAAGCUCGGUUUGCUUGCUAGUAUUACUGCCCUAUAGUCCGUAGUUUUGCCAGAGGUUUCGAGGUGCUCUUAAUCGAGUGUCCCGGGAUGCUGGCAGGUUUACUUUGAAAAAAUUAGAGUGCUCAAAGCAGGCUAUUACGCCUGAAUAUUCGUGCAUGGAAUAAUAGAAUAGGAAGUCGUUUCUAUUUUGUUGGUUUUCGGAAAUCGACUUAAUGAUUAAUAGGGACAGUCGGGGGCAUUUGUAUUCAAACGACAGAGGUGAAAUUCUUGGACCGUUUGAAGACAAACUACUGCGAAAGCAUUUGCCAAGAAUGUUUUCAUUA
rnacentral:rRNA from 1 species